CCCCCCCCCCCCCCCCCCCCCAGGAUUUUGAUCAGGGUACGGCCCUGAAUGUACAUCUAAAAGAUCCCUUGCUGCCAAUGGAAAAAUGUACAGGGGCAGAUCCGUGAUAUUUUGCAGGGGGAUCUACAUGCAACUAUUUAAAUGGAAAUUGUAAAUUAAUGCUGAAUGUACUUUAAAAUAUGUGAAAACUAAAUUUAAUCACGAGUGCUGGGGUUGGGGAUCUGUGGCUAAUAUAGCUGGUUUUCUCUGAACAAUGUGACAUAAUGUUUAACAUCCAUUAGCUGGCAAUUAAUUAAUUAAUGGUGUCAAACUUUAACGUGUGUGUGUGUGUGUGUGGUUUUUGUAAACAUUUUAAAGAGGCAUUUCCCAUUUUCAAUGAUUUAUUUGUGAUCAUGAGUGCAAUGUAAUAAUAAUUAUUAGUGUUGUGAUGUGAAUUGAUCACCUCUUCAGUAUUAUUGUAAAUUGGGGGUGCGGGUAUUUUUCUUUUCACAACUUCCCGUAACUACACCCAACAUGCUUUGCUUUCCAAACAUGGAGCAAAAUCCCAUGACAUUGUAUCACUUUUUCAGUUUACAAAUUACAUUUUUUAUUGUUUUUACUUAGAACUAGCUAUUUUCUUCAUGUUUUUGUACGACUUGUUUUUACUUAGAACUAGCCAUUUCCUUCAUGUUAUUGUACGACUUGUUUCUACUUAGAACUAGCCAUUUCCUUCAUGUUAUUGUACGACUUGUUUCUACUUAGAAGUAGCUAUUUCUUUCAUGGUAUUGUACGACUUGUUUUUACUUAGAACUAGCUAUUUUCUAUAUGUUAUUGUACGACUUGUUUUUACUUAGAACUAGCUAUUUCCUUCAUGUUAUUGUACGACUUGUUUUUACUUAGAACUAGCUAUUUUCUUCAUGUUGUGUUUUGUCUUGUUUCUACUUAGAAGUAGCUAUUUCUUUCAUGUUAUUGUACGACUUGUUUUUACUUAGAACUAGCUAUUUUCUAUAUGUUAUUGUACGACUUGUUUUUACUUAGAACUAGCUAUUUUCUUCAUGUUAUUGUACGACUUGUUUUUACUUAGACCUAGCUAUUUUCUUCAUGUUGUGUUUUGUCUUGUUUCUACUUAGAACUAGCUAUUUUCUUCAUGUUGUGUUUUGUCUUGUUUCUACUUAGAACUAGCUAUUUUCUUCAUGUUGUGUUAUGCUCAAUCCCCCCUUCAUAUAAUUUAACAUGUUUUACAAUUUACAUGUAAAAUAGAACAUAAAUAACACUUUAGCUUUAAUAAAUGUAUAACUGAAGACGGGUGUCUGCAGGAAUUUGUCUAUAAACGUCUAAUCCCGUCUAAAUGAGAUAAAUAUUAGGUCCGGUUUACACGGGUGUCUGCAGGAAUUCGUCUAUAAACGUCUAAUCCCGUCUAAAUGAGAUAAAUAUUAGGUCCGGUUUAGACGGGCGUCUGCAGGAAUUCGUCUAUAAACGUCUAAAUGAGAUAAAUAUUAGGUCCGGUUUAGACGGGCGUCUGCAGGAAUUUGUCUAUAAACGUCUAAUCCCGUCUAAAUGAGAUAAAUAUUAGGUCCGGUUUAGACGGGCGUCUGCAGGAAUUUGUCUAUAAACGUCUAAUCCCGUCUAAAUGAGAUAAAUAUUAGGUCCGGUUUAGACGGGUGUCUGCAGGAAUUUGUCUAUAAACGUCUAAUCCCGUCUAAAUGAGAUAAAUAUUAGGUCCGGUUUAGACGGGUGUCUGCAGGAAUUUGUCUAAACGCCUGAUCCCGUCUAAAUGAGAUAAAUAUUAGGUCCGGUUUAGACGGGUGUCUGCAGGAAUUUGUCUAAACGCCUGAUCCCGUCUAAAUGAGAUAAAUAUUAGGUCCGGUUUAGACGGGUGUCUGCAGGAAUUUGUCUAAACGCCUGAUCCCCUCUAAAUGAGAUAAAUAUUAGGUCCGGUUUAGACGGGUGUCUGCAGGAAUGUGUCUAAACGCCUGAUCCCCUCUAAAUGAGAUAAAUAUUAGGUCCGGUUUAGACGGGUGUCUGCAGGAAUGUGUCUAAACGCCUGAUCCCAUCUAAGUCGGAUAAAUAUUAGGUCCGGUUUAGACGGGUGUCUGCAGGAAUUUGUCUAAACGCCUGAUCCCGUCUAAAUGAGAUAAAUAUUAGGUCCGGUUUAGAUGGGUGUCUGCAGGAAUUUGUCUAAACGCCUGAUCCCGUCUAAAUGAGAUAAAUAUUAGGUCCGGUUUAGACGGGUGUCUGCAGGAAUGUGUCUAAACGCCUGAUCCCGUCUAAAUGAGAUAAAUAUUAGGUCAGGUUUAGACGGGUGUCUGCAGGAAUGUGUCUAAACGCCUGAUCCCGUCUAAGUCGGAUAAAUAUUAGGUCCGGUUUAGACGGGUGUCUACAGGAAUUUGUCUAAACGCCUGAUCCCAUCUAAAUGAGAUAAAUAUUAGGUCCGGUUUAGACGGGUGUCUGCAGGAAUGUGUCUAAACGCCUGAUCCCAUCUAAGUCGGAUAAAUAUUAGGUCCGGUUUAGAUGGGUGUCUGCAGGAAUUUGUCUAAACGCCUGAUCCCGUCUAAAUGAGAUAAAUAUUAGGUCCGGUUUAGAUGGGUGUCUGCAGGAAUUUGUCUAAACGCCUGAUCCCGUCUAAAUGAGAUAAAUAUUAGGUCCGGUUUAGACGGGUGUCUGCAGGAAUGUGUCUAAACGCCUGAUCCCGUCUAAAUGAGAUAAAUAUUAGGUCCGGUUUAGACGGGUGUCUGCAGGAAUGUGUCUAAACGCCUGAUCCCGUCUAAGUCGGAUAAAUAUUAGGUCCGGUUUACACGGGUUUCACUGUAGUAACUUACACAUGUACAUAACUAUUUUCCUAUUUAACUUACAUCAAUAUACAUACAUUUGUUAUUAUGUUAAAAAAAUUCAAGAAAUGAUGUAUUUAACAAUGCACUAGACCCAUUUUAUGUAUACGGUUAUACAGCAUUGGACACAUGGUUGAGCACUACACAAACAAUGAGAGAAGAAACCUGCUGCUGCCAUGCUAUGGGCUACUCUUUUCGAUUAGUAGCAAGGGAUCUUUUAUAUCCACCAUCUCACAGACAGGAUGGCACAUACCACAGCCUUUGUUACACAAGUUGUGGAGCACUGGCCGACACAAGAAAUUUUAGUGUUAAUGUUUACAGUUAUUUCUACACAAGUCAGCAGGAUUGACUCUGGGUCAGCAGAAAAGUUUGCCAAAUUAUCUACUAAACAUAAACAAAUUGCACAAAACCAAUAUCAAUCAUUUAAUGAAAUUAUUUCGCCAAAUGAAAAUAAAAUUUGCCAAUUAUUUUUGAAAUGCACAUAUGGCGAAUUUGGAGAUAGACCUGAUGGCUAUUGUAUACCAGUAAUUCAUGAUAUUCAGAGUUAUCAAAAUAUUGUCAGAACAUUGUAUUGGUUAUUGUCGAUCUAUUGGGCUAUUUCUCAUUCUAGUCCGUGCACCACAACUGAUAUAUCAAAGGCUGUGGUAUGUGUCAUCCUCUCUGUGGGAUGGUGCAUAUAAAAGAUCGCUUGCUACUAAUGAAAAAAAUGUAGCGGGUUUCCUCUCUCUGUCAGUAUAUUAUCAAAUGUUUGAUAAAUAAUAAAUCAAUGUGGUCUAGUCAUGUUAAACAAAAGCUAACAUAAUCAAUAAUUAUAUAUCUUUAAUUAUUAUAUACCUAACCAUUAAUUAUAUAGACCUACAGAUCGCAAGUCAUAUUUUCACAGUAAAAAUGUUAUUUACAUUGUAGAUUGAACAUGUUCAUGCUUCAGUUACCUCCCUUGUGAAUGGUUACGGUCUAAUUAUUGAAGUCAGUGUGACAUUAUCGUUUUAUAGUUCGAUGAUUACCAAAGCAUAUGAUCGUACUUGAAAACCGAAAUUGUAAUUUAAACAAUUGUACAUGUACUUACAUGUAUAUGUAGUGUAUUGACGAGGAAAGUAGUGUAUUGACGGGGAAACAUCUCAAAGUAAGAAUUAACGAUACAUGAUCAAAGUUGCAGUGUCGUAUUUUGCUGUUUUACAUGUGUUUGUAAUGAAUAACAACAAAUUAAUUGAUCGCACAUAUUAUCUGUGCAAUAUGAACUCAAGACUAGGGCCUCCAGGAGUCCAAAUAACAGUGUUGGUUUAAAGAGAAGUUUAAAGGGAGUCAAGAAUUUGUAACUAUUGUGACUUGUUAUUUAGUGUUCAUUUAAAGACAAGUUUAAAGGGAGUCGAGAAUUUGUAACUGUUGUGACUUGUUAUUUACAGUGUUCAUUUAAAGACAAGUUUAAAGGGAGUCGAGAAUUUGUAACUAUUGUGACUUGUUAUUUACAGUGUUCAUUUAAAGACAAGUUUAAAAGGAGUCCAGAAUUUGUAACUUGUUAUUUACAGUAUUGGUUUAAAGGGAGUCGAGAAUUUGUAACUAUUGUGACUUGUUAUUUACAGUAUUGGUUUAAAGGGGAGUUUAAAGGGAGUCGAGCAUUUGUAACUAUUGUGACUUGUUAUUUACAGUGUUGGUUUAAAGACAAGUUUAAAGGGAGUCGAGCAUUGUAACUAUUGUGACUUGUUACUUACAGAGUUGAUUUAAAGACAAGUUUAAAGGUAGUCGAGAAUUUGUAACUAUUAAUUGUGACUUGUUAUUUACAGUGUUGAUUUAAAGACAAGUUUAAAGGUAGUCGAGAAUUUGUAACUAUUGUGACUUGUUACUUACAGUAUUGAGUGACUUGUUAUUUACAGUUGAUUUAAAGACAAGUUUAAAGGUAGUCGAGAAUUUGUAACUAUUAAUUGUGACUUGUUAUUUACAGUGUUGAUUUAAAGACAAGUUUAAAGGUAGUCGAGAAUUUGUAACUAUUAAUUGUGACUUGUUAUUUACAGUGUUGAUUUAAAGACAAGUUUAAAGGGUGUCAAGAAUUUGUAACUAUUAAUUGUGACUUGUUAUUUACAGUGUUGAUUUAAAGACAAGUUUAAAGGUAGUCGAGAAUUUGUAACUAUUAAUUGUGACUUGUUAUUUACAGUGUUGAUUUAAAGACAAGUUUAAAGGGAGUCCAGAGUUUGUAACUAUUAAUUGUGACUUGUUAUUUACAGUGUUGAUUUAAAGACAAGUUUAAAGGUAGUCGAGAAUUUGUAACUAUUGUGACUUGUUUCUAACUAGGCUGGGACGUAACCUAGUGGUAAAGCACUCACUUGAUGUGCAGUCGGUUUGGGAUCAAUCCCUAUUGAUGUGCAUUGGGCUAUUUCUCAUUCUGACCAGUGCACUCUUAACUGGUAUCAUAUAUAUUAAAGGUUGUGGUAUGUGCUAUCCCGUCUGUAAGAUAGUGCAUACAAAAGAUCCUUUGUUACUAUUCAUUUAUUAAAAGAGCACGUUAUAGUAAUAUAUAGCAUUAGAAUAUGCAUGUACUUCACCACUAUCAUAUUCUAAGAAGUUGUACUUGUUACAAGGGGAUGUGGUACAUAUUUAAAAACAAAAGCUCAGUGAACCUUUACAAGCUGAAAACAUUAUACCAUAAAGUAAAGCAGGGAUCGAAAUACAGCCAUCCCGACCAGUUUUUGCUGGUCAUCUUCCACCACAGGCCAUGCAUGAGAUGUUUUUAAAAGUCUGCCAUCACGUCGGUCCGGUAAUUAGUUUUUAUUUAUAUUUAAUGAUCAUGUUUGGUUCGGCGGUAUUUUCAGUCAAUUUCAAUCCGUGCAGUAACGGUAAUCUUUCAACAAUUCACACUGAAGCAAGUUUCUUUGUGACAAACAUUUUAUGCAUAUCGAAUAGUUUUGUGAUAACUGUUUUAUGCAUAUCGAAAUUAAGUUUUCUUUGUGACCACCAUUUUAUGCAUAUCGAAUCAAAUUUUCUUUGUUAUAACUACUGUAUUUUAUGGAUAUCAAAAUAAAAAAGCUUAAAACAUACUAACAGCUGAAAUAUCAUGUCCCUGUAUUAAACAUGGUAAUUAAUAUAAUGUUUAAAAAAGACUGAUUAAACCAUAAGUUUGUUACAAUGGGUAAAAUUCUGAAAGUGUACUUUUUAAAAGAUGUUUUGAUUAUACUGGUAUAUCUAGUCUUUUUCUAGACUAUUUUUGUAGGUUUUAUUAGAGUUUAUAUUUACACGUUUAUUGAAAAUAGCAUCACUUAGUCUUGUUUAUUGCACUUUAUUUUAAUUUUGUAUGACAUGCAAAUUUUGUUAAUUUAAAAUGUAUAAUAAAACGGUCUUCAGUAA